rnacentral:pre_miRNA from 1 species
AAUGGAAUUGCUGGGUCAUAUGGUAGCUGUGAACUUUUUGAGGAACUGACAAACUAUUUUCCACAAGUGGCUGCACCAUUUUACAUUCCCACCAGCAAU